AGUGAACGCUGGCGGUAGGCCUAACACAUGCAAGUCGAACGGCAGCACAGUAAGAGCUUGCUCUUACGGGUGGCGAGUGGCGGACGGGUGAGGAAUACAUCGGAAUCUACUUUUUCGUGGGGGAUAACGUAGGGAAACUUACGCUAAUACCGCAUACGACCUACGGGUGAAAGCAGGGGAUCUUCGGACCUUGCGCGAUUGAAUGAGCCGAUGUCGGAUUAGCUAGUUGGCGGGGUAAAGGCCCACCAAGGCGACGAUCCGUAGCUGGUCUGAGAGGAUGACCAGCACACCGGGAACGAGGACACGGCCCAGACCCUUACGGGAGGAAGCAGUGGGGAAUAUUGGACAAUGGGCGCAAGCCUGAUCCAGCCAUACCGCGUGGGUGAAGAAGGCCUUCGGGUUGUAAAGCCCUUUUGUUGGGAAAGAAAAGCAGCAGGUUAAUACCCCGCGGUUCUGACGGUACCAAAAGAAUAAGCACCGGCUAACUUCGU
rnacentral:rRNA from 1 species